rnacentral:lncRNA from 1 species
AAUUUCUUCACUAUCACCCUUACUCGGUGUACGAUCCAUUAGGUUCCAUUUAGCGAGGUAGUGGGCGAUUGUUACUCUUAACCAUCGAUUGUGAAUUGAAACCACAUUUCAAUUCUCCCUUUAUGAUUAGGGUUUGCUAGUCAUUAGGGCUUCCACAAACCAUGAGUGACACCUAGCAGUAUGUCAUGGUUACCCAAGCUAAGUAGAAUUGGUUGGAGAACCUAUCCAGUUAUAACUACAAUGCAAUACGGUCCUUCUCUAAUACAAUACUCUUAAUCACAUUGUUUAAGUGAUAGUUUGUUUCAUGUCUACUAUCCAAUGUGACACAUAUCUAUAUGAUUCCCUUGAAUAUGAUUUGGAACAAACUUCCUAAGUCAUAUUCAUUUGCUUUGGCCAA